rnacentral:rRNA from 1 species
UGGCCAGACUCCUACGGGAGGCAGCAGUGGGGAAUAUUGCACAAUGGGGGAAACCCUGAUGCAGCAACGCCGCGUGAGUGAAGAAGUAUUUCGGUAUGUAAAGCUCUAUCAGCAGGGAAGAAAAUGACGGUACCUGACUAAGAAGCCCCGGCUAACUACGUGCCAGCAGCCGCGGUAAUACGUAGGGGGCAAGCGUUACCCGGAUUUAUUGGGUUUAAAGGGUGCGCAGGCGGGCUGUUAAGUCAGCCGUAAAAUCCUGGGGCUCAACCCCCGCACCGCCGUUGAAACUGGCAGUCUCGAGUUGGAGAGAAGUAUGCGGAAUGCGCGGUGUAGCGGUGAAAUGCAUAGAUAUCGCGCAGAACUCCGAUUGCGAAGGCAGCAUGCCGGCUCCACACUGACGCUGAGGCACGAAAGCGUGGGUAUCGAACAGGAUUAGAUACCCCCGUAG